rnacentral:rRNA from 1 species
CACUGCCGAGAAAAGCCUCUAGAUAGAAAAUAGGUGCCCGUACCGCAAACCGACACAGGUAGUCAAGAUGAGAAUUCUAAGGUGAGCGAGCGAACUCUCGUUAAGGAACUCGGCAAAAUGACCCCGUAACUUCGGGAGAAGGGGUGCUCUUUAGGGUUAACGCCCAGAAGAGCCGCAGUGAAUAGGCCCAAGCGACUGUUUAUCAAAAACACAGGUCUCUGCUAAACCGUAAGGUGAUGUAUAGGGGCUGACGCCUGCCCGGUGCUGGAAGGUUAAGAGGAGUGGUUAGCUUCUGCGAAGCUACGAAUCGAAGCCCCAGUAAACGGCGGCCGUAACUAUAACGGUCCUAAGGUAGCGAAAUUCCUUGUCGGGUAAGUUCCGACCCGCACGAAAGGCGUAACGAUUUGGGCACUGUCUCAACGAGAGACUCGGUGAAAUCAUAGUACCUGUGAAGAUGCAGGUUACCCGCGACAGGACGGAAAGACCCCGUGGAGCUUUACUGUAGCCUGAUAUUGAAAUUCGGCACAGCUUGUACAGGAUAGGUAGGAGCCUUUGAAACG